UUACCUGGUCAGUAUGUCAUGGAAAGAGCCGUUCCUAAUGUUUUGUAAAAUCUGUAUAUGAUGAUAAUAAAAUAUAUAAUGUAUUCCAUUUACAUAUGCCAAUACCUCACUCAUAUUUCAGUACCAGCGGUGGAGGGAGAGAUGGGAAGGAUGUGCCCAUUCUAUUCCGAGGUUACCCACUGGGCACAGACGUCAAUUCAACGUCAAUUCCACGUUGAUUCAACAUAAUUUCAUUGAAAUGACAUGCAAACAACGUUGAUUCAACCAGUGUGUGCCCAGUGGGUAGACACAUCUUCCACGUCUCCCCUGCUCCUGGUGGGCAGCAAUAUACACUUACCUCAUUCUUGUCCACCUUGUUGUGUUAUAGAUGAAAUGCCCCUUAAAAUGUCUUUCAGCGUUCAUUCGGAAAAUGCUUACCAAGCAAGAGGUGAUACUGGAACAACAGACACUCAUCCUACGACUGUUACAAACAGGACAGCAGAAUGGAGCAGAAUAUGCGAUUGAAAAUGGCCUUCUGCCAUUGAAGGAUCAGCAAGGUCUCCAGAGCCUGGAAACUGAUCUUCAGGGGGCUGACUUCAAACUUAAAAUGAUUAACCACUUGAGACUAAUUGGGGGAUGCGACGUGAAAGAUGCUGUGUGGCGUUUAAUGAUGCGCACAAUUUCCAACACGCUAGCAAAAAACAUGAAUCGGAGAGGAGUAAAUAGAAAAAUCUCUUGCAUCCCUUCGACUGUGGGAGGUUUUGCUAAAACCAAUGGUUAAAAUCACUUUAGCAAUGAGAUGAACUGAGCAGUGGGUCUGCAAAUGUACCGGAUGUCACUCAGUCAGGCACUGUUGUGUGAUACCUCAAAGUAUGUGUGGGUAAAACACACACACACACACACACGAGGCUGUUGUCUGGAAGAAUCCGUUAACAUCUAGAGCGUCUGAAAGCGAUGCGGAGUCGGUCAUGAAAAAGUGGUUGCAGCUGGCAGCAUACCGGGAAGGAGUGAGAAGCAGACGAGACAGGAGUGUGGUGGCCCCUGUGCCAUGAUGGACUUGGGAAAGGGGUGUAUUUAAGUGAUAAUGCCCAAGAAACCGUGGUCUGGAGAUUAUAUACGUCAAGGGCCGGCAAACCGUGCUAAUAUAACCUCCAACAGCUUGGAGGGCAUUAUCACUUUUAUACAACGGUUACCGACAUAUUCAAAUAAUGAUUGACAUAUUUUCAUUAAAAACGUUAUUUUGAUUAAUUGAUUCAUACUAUUUCCUUCCUUACAUAAGAUAUAGUCCCAACACAAAUCUAAGGUUCUUGUUGCCAGCCAAGCCAACUGGUUGUUGGUUCUAUGCGUUCAAUUUCACGCUAUCUAAGCUAAAUGA